GUGGGGAAUAUUGGGCAAUGGGCGCAAGCCUGACCCAGCAACGCCGCGUGAAGGAAGAAGGCUUUCGGGUUGUAAACUUCUUUUACCAGGGACGAAACAAAUGACGGUACCUGGUGAAUAAGCCACGGCUAACUACGUGCCAGCAGCCGCGGUAAUACGUAGGUGGCGAGCGUUAUCCGGGUUUAUUGGGUGUAAAGGGCGUGUAGGCGGGACAGCAAGUCAGAUGUGAAAACCAGAGGCUCAACCUCUGGCCUGCAUUUGAAACUGUUGUUCUUGAGUGUCGGAGAGGUAAUCGGAAUUCCGUGUGUAGCGGUGAAAUGCGUAGAUAUACGGAGGAACACCAGUGGCGAAGGCGGAUUACUGGACGAUAACUGACGCUGAGGCGCGAAAGCGUGGGGAGCAAACAGGAUUAGAAACCCUAGUAGUCC
rnacentral:rRNA from 1 species